CUUCGCGGCGGUGCGCUGCUGACUUUAUUUGUGCGCUUUGCGUGUGCGUGAGGUUGCACCUUUUGUAGGCUGGCGAGUCUCUGGACGAGGAUGGGACGGGGGACACGGGCCCAGUUGCGGCCCUGCGCGAGCGGGACCUGUCAGCCCUGAGGUGCAGCGGACCCUCCGGCAUGGCCGGAAAAUCGAGGCCGGGGAGAAGGCAGCGUGGCCGGGAAGCUGCCGCCUUAAACCCGGACCAGUGCAGGAUUGCUUCCUGCGUAGCCGUCCCGGUUAUUGUAACACGCUUUGCAAGCUAACGACUGGGGUUGAAUGCAUUCACAUGGUUCCAAAUUCAAAUAAACAGCAAGAAGUCUC
rnacentral:lncRNA from 10 species